rnacentral:rRNA from 1 species
UGGGGAAUAUUGCACAAUGGGCGCAAGCCUGAUGCAGCCAUGCCGCGUGUAUGAAGAAGGCCUUCGGGUUGUAAAGUACUUUCAGCGGGGAGGAAGGCGAUAAGGUUAAUAACCUUGUCGAUUGACGUUACCCGCAGAAGAAGCACCGGCUAACUCCGUGCCAGCAGCCGCGGUAAUACGGAGGGUGCAAGCGUUAAUCGGAAUUACUGGGCGUAAAGCGCACGCAGGCGGUCUGUCAAGUCGGAUGUGAAAGCCCCGGGCUCAACCUGGGAACUGCAUUCGAAACUGGCAGGCUAGAGUCUUGUAGAGGGGGGUAGAAUUCCAGGUGUAGCGGUGAAAUGCGUAGAGAUCUGGAGGAAUACCGGUGGCGAAGGCGGCCCCCUGGACAAAGACUGAC